rnacentral:lncRNA from 1 species
GCUGGUUAGCCCGCUAAAUUUCCCUCCAACUUCAGCAUCAUAACAGCUGUCCUUGGUAAAGUAAGCGCGCGCCAGGAACAAAUGUGGCUAACUAGCUAACUCGACUGAGAAGGUCAUACCUGGAGGUUCUAAGUUCACGCAUAGCUCCAUUCUCAACCACCUCUAGAGGCAGAAACCUGACCAGCAACUCAAAACGUGGGCAUUCAUUGAACCCAGCCAUAUACAGAACAGGGAGUAGUCGGAGUGAGGCCCAAAGUGAGAGAAUGGAAGACAACCAGACACCCCUGUCCAACCAGCAGCUUGUGCAGCUCAUAAGAUCUUUCAUCUUAGUAGAACAGGGGCAGAGGCAGGAGCCCAGAGCCCUCACUACGGACCUGAAACCUUUACAGGAGGACCUGCACCUGAAGAAGACCAAUGUCUAUAGAUCUAUACCCUACUCACGCCUGGGGUCCAACAGAGACGCACACUGUUACAGAAAGGCAUAUCCACACCUGGUGGUGUUUAAAGUUUCCUGCCAGGAGUGGGGUCAGCUGCUGCUGCAGAAUGAGGAGUGGGAGUCUGCUCUGGAGCACGCCCUAGUGGCGUGGAGGUACACCAGUGAACUGCCACAGUGGGACACCAGCAGCCACAACUUGGUGAGGGAACAGUGUUACAGCAUGCUGGCAGCACACUGCAUCACAGCUCUACAGCACUAUUGCCCAGACCCCAGCAAAGCAAUAGAGCUGCACAGGAGGUUUAAAAUGGCACAGCUGCACAGUCAGUUGAUCUAUCCUUGUAUUCAGGAGCUGGAGAGAAGCCUCGGCGAAGCACAGGUUUGUUCCAUGAACACCCGCUGAAAUGGCCAACCUGCUGAAAUGGCCAACACUAAGAUCAGCUGACAACAAUCAGCACGGCUUCCAAGUCUAUGGGGUUGCACUAUUGAACAGCGUAUAUCAGUGGUUGCCAUUCAACUAUGUUUGGUAUCCUUGCCUUGUGUUGCGCUAUUCCCCCUUGCCUACAGUAUUCCGCCUUGCCUACAGUAUUCCCUCAGAGUAAAUACAAGAGAAAGCUUUGAAUUUUGGUAAGCUGUUUUUUAAAUAUGAAUUUAAGUUUUUGUAUUUAAGUUGUUUUGUAAAAUGUGUUUAUUGCCAUUGAACUAUUGAAUGUUAUCAUAAGGAAAGUAUGAAAUGGCCUUUAAAAUGUGAAAUGCUGUCAUAGGGAAAUUAUGAAUGUCCUUUUCACCAAGAUGUUUUAUAUGUGGGGGAUGUUUUUGUGGAUGUUUUGAAAAAUGCCAUGAUACAGCUGCCUUAUUUCAACUUGGCUGAAUGCUACCUGUCUUGUAAAUAUUUGUCUAAAGUAACUGUUUUGCACUGUUUUCUUCAUCCUGGAAACUUGACAUUUUGAUAAUAGAAUCUAAUUUAAUAAAAUUCUACUUAGUUUUUCAACAUUCUGUUGUCAAUUUCUGGUUUUGUCUCAUCUAAAACACAUGCCACUGAUUUACUGUUUUGAGACAUUGGAGACCUGCUUUGUCACUGAAUUAAUUUGCUGGUUCUCCCCUUGCAUUUUGUCUCAUCCAGAGGACAGAAGUUCAGUGCAAGC